UCUAGAAAGGCGGCGGCGGGAGCGGCAGCAGCAGCAGGAGCAGCAGCACGAGCGGCAGCAGCGUUGGAGCCCCGCCGGCAGCGGUGCGAUUUCUCGGGCAGAGCCAGUCCCCACCCCGGCGCCAGGACGAGUCCGGUUCGAGUUCGACCGCGGAGAUCUCUCUCAUCUCGCUCGGCUGCGGGGAAUCGGGCUGAGGCGACUGAGGCCGCGAUGGAGAGAGAAAAGGAACAGUUUCGUAAAUUGUUCAUUGGUGGCUUGAGCUUUGAAACAACAGAAGAAAGUUUGAGAAACUACUAUGAGCAAUGGGGAAAACUUACAGACUGUGUGGUAAUGAGGGAUCCGGCAAGCAAACGGUCAAGGGGAUUUGGUUUUGUGACAUUUUCAUCGAUGGCCGAAGUUGAUGCAGCAAUGUCCGCCAGACCUCAUUCAAUUGAUGGAAGAGUGGUUGAGCCCAAAAGAGCAGUAGCCAGGGAGGAAUCUGGAAAACCCGGGGCUCAUGUUACUGUGAAGAAACUGUUUGUUGGUGGAAUUAAAGAAGAUACUGAAGAACAUCACCUUAGGGACUACUUUGAGGAAUACGGGAAAAUUGAUACCAUUGAAAUAAUUACAGAUAGACAAUCUGGUAAAAAACGGGGCUUUGGCUUUGUUACAUUUGAUGACCAUGACCCUGUGGAUAAAAUCGUGUUGCAGAAAUACCAUACCAUCAAUGGCCAUAAUGCAGAAGUAAGAAAAGCGUUAUCUAGGCAAGAAAUGCAGGAAGUCCAAAGUUCUAGGAGUGGAAGAGGAGGUAACUUUGGUUUUGGAGAUUCACGUGGUGGUGGUGGAAAUUUUGGACCAGGACCUGGAAGCAAUUUCAGAGGUGGAUCUGAUGGAUAUGGAAGUGGUCGUGGAUUUGGGGAUGGUUACAAUGGGUAUGGCGGAGGACCUGGAGGUGGCAAUUUUGGAGGUAGUCCUGGUUAUGGAGGAGGAAGAGGAGGAUAUGGUGGUGGAGGAGGAGGAGGACCUGGCUAUGGCAACCAGGGUGGGGGCUACGGAGGUGGUUAUGACAACUAUGGAGGAGGCAAUUAUGGAAGUGGAAACUAUAAUGAUUUUGGAAACUACAACCAACAACCUUCCAAUUACGGUCCAAUGAAGAGUGGAAACUUUGGUGGUAGCAGGAACAUGGGAGGACCAUAUGGUGGAGGGAAUUAUGGUCCUGGAGGAAGUGGAGGAAGUGGGGGAUAUGGAGGGAGAAGCCGAUAUUAAGCCUUUUCCUAUUUUGCAGUGGAUCUUUUAGAUGCUGCUUCUUCAAUGCAAGGAAAGGAAAUACCCCCCAGCGAGGUACUCUUCAGGGACACAGGUCUAGUACAAGAGAACUCUUGAAAACGCCUACUAAAUUCAGCCAGUCUUAAAAAACUGUGCUGUAUUUCUGCAAAGCUUUAACCACAGUAGUUUUAUAAGGAUGCCAUCGAAAGCUGAGGGUGUAGAGCAAAAUAGUUCUAAGCUUCAGUUAAACUUCUUUAGCAUUGAUAUGAACCCUGGACAAGCGUAGUCUGCUGCCACAAAGACUAAAAAUGCUACAUUUCAACAACCGAGACAAGCAAGUGAUCAUUAAUAAAGCUUUUCUUGGGUUCCUUCAGUGGUGGUGGUAGUAAAAUGGAUGGUGUCUUGCUGCAGGUAACUAAUGAAGAAGUGGUCAACCACAGAAACCUUCAAGAAAUCAGAAAUUCUGUCCCAUCUGAAAUAGGUUCUUACUGGUCUCUCUACACCAGUUUAAUUUAGAUGAAAGGAAUAAGUAUCCUGAUAAUAAAGACCAAAAAACCUCAAUGAA